GUAAGAGCUCCUCCAGAAGGGCUAGAAAAACCGGCCGGUGAGGAAAGCAGACACACGGCAGCUGUGCACGAACAACCCACCUCCAGCCAGAUUCCCUAGCAGGCAGGUGCUGCCAAGAACAAAAUGGAAGAUAGUGGUAGGAAGACAUUAAUGGCCUGCAGCUAAAACAGCCAUACAAAUCUACUCCGAGAACAGGGAAAGAUGAUGCAACAUUUAUCAGAUACACAGAUGGUGGGAAUCGAAGGAAAAUAAAGCUAGAUAUGUGUUUCACAGAUGAAAACUACAAAAGCAUGAUGGCUCCUGUCAAAUUAAGGUCUCAGAGUCUUUUAUUCUCACGGUUUCCUCAUAAAGCGUCUUUUCAGUCAUGAUGGCAAACACAUUUAGAAGAACCAUUCAAGAACUAUCAGGUCACCUGACUGGCACCACUAAUUAUGUCUCUGAUUGUAACUUAUGUGACCGAAUGUAAGAAAUAAAAAUAAAUAAAAUAAACUUCUAUAUGGUGAAA